UCCCUGGUGGCUCAGAUGGUAAAGCUUCUGCCUGCAAUGCAGGAGACCUGGGUUUGAUCCCUGGCUCAGGAA
rnacentral:tRNA from 1 species